rnacentral:lncRNA from 1 species
CAGCCUGAGAAGACCCGGGGCCCUGCCAGCUCCCGGGACUAUAACUUCAGUUGAGUCGCUACUUCCGCGGAUCCUGAGCUGGGGGAAAGUCGAGGGGUCCGGAAGGCUCAGGAGGGAUCGUGGACUUCAGGGUUCCCAGGCUGCUGGCGUGGAGCACCAACACCUUACAUGGAGGGGUUUCUGCUGCCAGAGCAGGCAAGGCCCUCCCCUCCCUAGUUUCUCACUGACCCCUUCUGGGUGUCCUCACGCAACUACACCAGCCACUGGUCUCCGCACUUUCCAGAGGGCCUGUGGGCAACUACGAAGCCGAACACUGCCAACCCAUCCACCCAGCAUCCCUGCAGGCUGCACAUAAGCAAGGGGUUCUGGAAAUUAAGACGUCUAGAGGAGAAAGCGUGAGACAUCCCGUGAUGGCAAUGCCACCGCCACCCCCUUGCCUAACCAAACCGUCCUCUGCUCCGGGCAAGUGGCCAUCUGGGAGCAUUAGCCAGGGAGGCACUCAUUGUGUCUUGCCAUCACGUCCACAGAGGGGGCCCCACACCUUGUCAUACUCAUUUGACAAACUCUCCAGAACUGCUGGUGCCAGCCCCCACAGGUCACCUUACAGGGCAACUCCAGACUCCACAAUGUGAGUCUAAUAUGUGUUCCAAGAAUCAAACAGGAUGAGCACCAAGACAUAAAGCUUAGAAAUAGCAAGACUGCUUUUCAGAUGCACAUGCACGCUUGUUUUCCAAAGGAAUUAGAUUUAUUCUGCAUGAAAACGGAAAGUGUUCACUCCCCAAGCUGAGAGCUGAGGAGGUGGCACUGUGCUGAGUCCAGCCAGGGCUUGGGUCCUGCCCCAGUCUGACAGGCCUGCUGAGCCUGGGAGGGGCCCAAGAGAAAGCCCCUGCAAAGCCCCGAAACCUACAUGCUAGGUAGCCUGUGCUGGAGUCACUCAAAGGGGCCUGUGGCUGUCAGUCAUCCUUGCUUCCCCUUGGCGGCGGUGAGUUCUCCCUUUCCGAUGAUGAUGAUGACGAUGAAGUAUCUGCUGGCAAGCCCCUUGUAUCUAUCCGGCAGAACACGCAUUGGGUGAACAUUUCAGAAGAGGUGUCACUCUUGAAGAUGGAGAAAGGCCUGUCACAUCUUUCGCACUGACAUGGGAU